GCUGCGCUGAACUGCGGUGCGCUGCCCGCGGUGGUUAGCGAGCUGAAGAGAGCAGCGGUACGGGCUGUCCUUCCUUUCGAGGCUGACCCUUCAAGCAAAGGAGGAGGCAGAACUUCUGGCGGGCGGCGGCCCCGAGCCCCAGGCAGAGGCAAUCUGUUGGCCCUCUUCUUGCACCUGGGAAAGCCAUCCCUGCAUCCCAGACAGGAGAGUGUCUGGAUAAUCUGUUUAAGGAGAGAACAGAACAAGUUUUGGAGGAAUGCUGAAGCCCUCUGGACUACUCCAAAGACUUCACAGAGAGGACUAGUCAUAACAGCCAGUACUUUCCAAGCUUGUAAGGGAAGCUGGUGCAAACAUGUCUUUGUUGGCAGAAUUAUCCAACAGAUAUUAAAUAUUGAAAUGAUCAAGAAUGGAAUGGCAUGAAGCUCCUCUAGGAAUAUGUAAAUCAGCAGGUGGUUUGGGUGCACUAGAUCCACCUGGUCAAAGUUGUAAACAAAACAAACAAACAAAAAAGCCUUUUAUAAAUUAGGCUGCUUUUCAGAUGUUGCCCCAGAAUGAUAUUUUGUAUUUUUUUCUUAAAGUACUCAGUCCUUACAAACACCAAUUAAAUAGAACAGAUCUAAAAAUUCUGUCCUGAAAUUGAGGCAUUAAAAAUUGUCAAAAGAACGCAAGCUGAUAGAACUGACAUCUAGGAUUUUCUUCUGCCUUUGCCUCUUGCUGUGUACUUGACUGUAAGCGGUUUCAUGUGCCUUUCUAAACCCCUUCUCUGCAAGCUUGAAAACUCUUCCCUGAUUGGGAGCAAAGUAGGAGUGAAACUCAAAGUGGAAUUUAUUUCUCUAAAUGAACAGAGGGUCAAAUCAUAGUUGUAACUGAAUCCUUCUCAGAACCUUACCUAGAACUAGAGCAUCUCUCCUGAAAAUGGGAAUUAAAUUCUGCAGUUAAUUAGGCCCUGAAGUACUGAAUAGUUCAAGAACAGUGUCUUGUAUACUUACAACUAAGUUGCUAGUAUCGUUUAUAUUUAGUCUAUACCCUCCAUAAAGGAUCGCAGUUGUUCAUCUUUAA
ensembl:lncRNA